GACGAACGCUGGCGGCGUGCUUAACACAUGCAAGUCGAACGGAAAGGCCCUGCUUUUGUGGGGUGCUCGAGUGGCGAACGGGUGAGUAACACGUGAGUAACCUGCCCUUGACUUUGGGAUAACUUCAGGAAGCUGGGGCUAAUACCGGAUAGGAGCUCCUGCUGCAUGGUGGGGGUUGGAAAGUUUCGGCGGUUGGGGAUGGACUCGCGGCUUAUCAGCUUGUUGGUGGGGUAGUGGCUUACCAAGGCUUUGACGGGUAGCCGGCCUGAGAGGGUGACCGGCCACAUUGGGACUGAGAUACGGCCCAGACUCCUACGGGAGGCAGCAGUGGGGAAUAUUGCACAAUAGGCGGAAGCCUGAUGCAGCAACGCCGCGUGCGGGAUGACGGCCUUCGGGUUGUAAACCGCUUUCGCCUGUGACGAAGCGUGAGUGACGGUAAUGGGUAAAGAAGCACCGGCUAACUACGUG
rnacentral:rRNA from 1 species